rnacentral:tRNA from 1 species
GCUGGCUCAGUCGGUGUAGAGCAUGUGACUCUUGAUCACAGGGUUGUGAGUUCAAGCUCCACAUUGAGCA